CAGGGAAUAGUUUGCUUUCCCGUUUUCUCCGGACGUCAAAAGCAAAAGGACAUCGGCUGUUGUGUCAUCUCAACGUAAGUCUGCUUCGUGUUCGCUUCACUCACUCCUCACCUCUCGGUCCUCGCUUUUGGCUUCUCUUUUCCUCUUCCUUUCUACUUCAAAGUGUCCCACUUUUUUUACAGGAGAUGUGGCCACGCAGCUGGCCUGCAAGUUACCUGUCUGCGUCUCUGUGUUGUGCUCUCUGAUUGGCUGUGUGUCUCCCUGCUAUCAUGGCUGAUAGAGUUUGAAGCAGAUCAAAAACUUAAAAGCAGAGCUGUCUCUUGGUUUAGCGGCAUUAUUCUGAAAGUAGUAUGGGGAUGUGGAACUGCUCUGCAUUUUUUAAAGAUUAACCACACAUUGAAAUUCGGUUUUAAAGCAUCUCAAAAUAACAAUACAUCGGCGGCUGAUGCGUGCCGUCUCCUUUCAAUUGGGUUAAACUGACGCUGACCUUCUGAGAUAAAUAGAGACCCCCCCCUAAAAAAAAUCCAUAAAUCCAUGAUUCAAAGGUUGAUUAUGUAAAAAACAACAACCCACAAAUACGAAUAUCUGUAUUGCAAAGGGGAAAAAAAAAAAUCGUUUUUCACACACAAGGGUUCCUCCUUGGCCAAUCACGUUUCGUUAUCAUUUUCUGGGAAAUGGGGAGAGGAGACGAGGAAUGAGGAAGUAAGUAGGAGAGACUGUUUCCGUUGACAUCAUACUGUGGCCUUGUCAUAUGUGAAACAUCGAGGACUGUUCAGACACUGAAAUGUCUGUUUUAAUCAACUGAAAUCAGAAACUUCUAAUUUGCACAAAUUAAAAAAAGGUUUAGCGCAGCCACAGUCACUUCAAAAUGACCAGUGGUGGGCCAGAUGUGCAAAGGUGAGAAAGUGGGCCAGGAUCCUCUCUCAGAAGCUCCUUUUUAUUAUUUACACAGUAACGUCCUUCACUUUUCAUUUGUACAACGCCGUGAACACUUUAGAUCACAGACGCCAUUGUUUCCCUCUGAGAGGGACCAUUUUGGCCCGCCUGAUGGCCAUGGAAAUUAAACCACUAGUCUUGUCGGGAACUAAUGCAUAGGUCACAGGAGGAAGUUGCUUUUUUGACAUAUAUAGGGUAAAUAAAGAAAAUCUUCACUAUAUUCCCUGAAGUAAGUCUGGCAGCAGAAGUUGGGAUCCAAGUUUUCAUAGGAAUAAUUUCCUCUAUAAUUAAUGGUUCUAUUAAUGGUUUCUUUCAUCAUGAGUUGAGUCAGGUAAUACAAAUUCGGUUUUAUUUCUUCACGUUUGGUCAACAUCUGAAUGAACAGAAAGAAAACUCACCGUCAGCUGCUCCUCAGGCCGUAUAAACUGUACUUGGAUAAAGGACAUCAGGCAGUUUGAAUGUUUAAAUGCAAAUGUGCUCCUUGCACGGAAAUGGAGUGCUGGAAUUCUGCUGUGUAAAGGAAAAGGAAAGAAAAACCCUGACGGAUAAAGGAAGGAUGGUUAAAGACACAAAGGGAUUUAAUAAAGGAGCCAAAGAGGAUCGGAGGGAUGUAGCGCAUAGGUGACUGUGUGCAAUCAAAAACCCCAUGAUCCGGCUGAGCGAGAACAGACGAGAGUUUCCUAACACCGCUGCGAGUCCUGACACGAUGCUGGGUUGUGACACCGAGCCUGGGAUGGGAUCGCGGAACAGGGAGUGAGUCUCAACCCAGAAAAACGGGAUUCCACUCUCACUCCCUGCUCACGGAGCAACAUACCACCCCGAGAGUUUCCCACGAGAAAAACCUCGGGCGUUUUUCGGUCCGGGAGGAACACAAAAAAAGAGAGCGGCACAGAUGAGGGAGACGGGGAGAUAGACAUAUAGAUACAUGCAAUGCGCAGCAGCAUGGGAACACUAGGGGCAUGUUUCGAUGUAUCCCAGGUGGGCAGGGUGGGCGUGACACUCAGACACUUCCAGGCAGACUGAUAGUCGGGGGGGGAUUAAGUGUGAGAUUCAUGAGAAAAAAUGCUAGAUAGGAAUCAGCUGGCCACUUCUGGACCAAAGUUUUCACAACUGUCAACUGAGCUCGGAGAGAGUCGAGAAAACACCUGAGUCAACGUGAUGGUGAAAUGCACCCCUGCUGCGUGUGGACAAAAGCAAGACGCGCUCGCACUAAAUGCCAAGGUGCGGUUCACCUGCUGCAUCUCAUGUGACCCACUAAAGUACCUGGAAUUGCCGGUGACGUGACUUUUUUUUUCUUUUUCUUUUUUCUCAUCUUCCCGUCUUCCUCCCAACGCCUCCAUCCAUCCCUCGCCGGGAGGACAGAGUCAUGGCUGUCAAACCUGUUCUUUGUCUGCGUUUACCAGCUGGGUCGGGAGGGACGUGUUUCCUUCGCCGCCUCUGCUCUGCUCCUUUAAAGGGACAUUAUUGUGAGCUACACUGACAGGAUGGCAGGUUGUGGUAAAGGCCCCAUGUGGACCUGAGGCCUUACAGUGAAGGAUCUGCUCUUAUUGCUGCUCCAUCUCUUGUGCAAACACAAGCAAGAGACGCUUUCAGGUGUUUGCACAGCUACAUCCUGUUCCAGAGAGUCCCCCACCAACACACACAGACACACACACACACACACACACACCCAUACCACAGAAUGUACUGUAAGUUCACCCUAGUGGCAAAGACAAAACCAUACCUUUGCAUGAAGUGCUUCUCUUAAGUAACAGGGGCCAGGUAAAUAUUGCUGCUGGUUCAGGCUUCUGAAGGAUGUUUUCAUAAAGCUUUGCCUUUGAUUUACAAUAGGAAAGAUAAGUACUUUUUAUUUGUGCUGUAAAGGUUUGAUUGUUGUCUGUGGGGAUAAAGAAAGCAGUUUGGUUUUAAUAUUUAGAUUUUGAUGAAUACUCUUUAGAUGAUGAGUAGCAUUCAGUGCUCUUUAUGACUUUAGGGGGAAAACAAUAUCAGUGGCAAACUAUUGUUCAAUGUCCAGUCUCUGUAAUAACUCCCCACCCUCUCCGUCAUCCACUGUGUUUGACCCUGACAUGUACAGUAAAAGAUGUCUUUUUGACAAAAUACACAUCAUGUCUUUAUCCUCUAAUACAAACACUGAAAUGAAACAGAUUUAAUUUUGACUUGUGCAUAUUUUUCACUCCUUUGUAACUGUAUGAAAAAUAAAUCAGAAUUGCGCACAUAUUCACAUAUGUUUGCAGCAAUGAAUCAAAAGUA